GGGAUUUUAGUGUAAUUUUAGGGAUGAAUUGGCUAGCGAUGUAUCACACCACCAUAGAUUGUUUUAACAAAAAUGUUGUAUUCAAUCCUCCAAAUGGGGAGCCAUUUACAAACGAAUAAAAUCAUUUAGUAUUUAUUACUUGAUGGAAAAUUUUCUUACUUGUCGAGUGCCUUAACCUUGCUAUUUUCUCUAACUAGGCAAACCCAAGAAAAAGAAUUGUAUUCAAGAGAUUUCG
rnacentral:lncRNA from 1 species